CCACCUUUCGAAAAUUUGGUUUUAUUAUGUAAUAUUUCAUAUUAUUUAAUUUGAGUCAGUCGACGAUACUUUGAUUUUAAAAUUUUAAUUUAUGGUUUAAUUGACUUUACAAAUUUAGUUGGUAUACUUUAUGUAAUUCUAGUAAUUAUAAAUUUUUAUUAAAGCAAGAAAUUAGUUUAAAUUUUGAAGUCAAAGUGCCGUCGUCUGACUCAAAUCAAACAAAUUGAAAGAUUGGAUGGUAAAAUCAAAAUUCUAAAAGGUUAAAUAGUAGAUUCUGAAUGAUCCAUAGUUCUUCAGGUUUUUUCUUUUCACCAAAAAGUAUUCGAAUGCCUUCUUAUGGUUUAUCAUUUCUUAUUUUAGUGCUAUACCGUUUUAACCGUAUAACUUAAAUAUACUGUAGCCUUUAUUUUCGUUUUUUGUUACACCUUUCGUUAACUUUUUCGUUAAAUUCAAAUCACGUGCUACAUACGGGUGUAAAAAAUGUCUCAAAAGGUCGGUAAAAAAGGCAUGAAACUUUUUAGAGCUUAAUCCUGAGCAUUAUUAGUAAGUUCCAAAUGAUGAAACAACGACGAUCUACAACAUAUAUGUGCACGGCAUGUGACUGUUUUAACAAGAAGUUACCGGAGAGUGUAACGAAAAAUAAAAAUAGAAACCAUGCGAUACUUCACUGAUAUACUUAAAAUCAUAAAAUACUAAAGUAAAAAAGUGGUAAACUAUAGAAGAAUAUCUCAAGUAUUUUUUAAGUAAAAUAUAUUUGAAAUUAAUUAUAUUAUG
rnacentral:lncRNA from 1 species